rnacentral:rRNA from 1 species
AGUCUGAUCAGCCAUCCCGCGUGCAGUGAUGAUGCCCUAUGGGUUGUAAACUGCUUUUGUUUGGGAAGAAAUGUACUUUUUCAUGAGCAUUUGACGGUACCGGACGAAUAAGCACCGGCUAACUCCGUGCCAGCCCCCGCGGUAAUACGGAGGGUGCGGGCGUUAUCCGGAAUCACUGGGUUGAAAGGGUGCGUAGGCGGCCCAAUAAUUCAAAGGUGAAAGUUUCCCGCUCAACCGGGACAUUGCCUUUGAAACUGUAUGGCUUGAAUCAAAUUGAGGUUGGGGGAAUGUGACAUGUAGCGGUGAAAUGCAUUGAUAUGUCAUAUAACAUCAAUUGCGAGGGCAGCUGGCUGGAUCGGUAUUGACCCUGAGGCACGAAAGCAUGGGGAGCAAACAGGAUUAGAUACCCUGGUAGGCCACGCCCUACACGAUGUUUACUCGACAUGGGACUUACGGGUUCUGUGUCCAAGCGAAAGCGUUAAGUAAACCACCUGGGGAGUACGUUCGCAGAAUGAAACUCAAAG